GACGAACGCUGGCGGCGUGCUUAACACAUGCAAGUCGAACGGAAAGGCCCUGCUUUUGUGGGGUGCUCGAGUGGCGAACGGGUGAGUAACACGUGAGUAACCUGCCCUUGACUUUGGGAUAACUUCAGGAAACUGGGGCUAAUACCGGAUAGGAGCUCCUGCUGCAUGGUGGGGGUUGGAAAGUUUCGGCGGUUGGGGAUGGACUCGCGGCUUAUCAGCUUGUUGGUGGGGUAGUGGCUUACCAAGGCUUUGACGGGUAGCCGGCCUGAGAGGGUGACCGGCCACAAUGGGACUGAGAUACGGCCCAGACUGCUACGGGAGGCAGCAGUGGGGAAUAUUGCACAAUGGGAGGAAGCCUGAUGCAGCAACGCCGCGUGCGGGAUGACGGCAUUCGGGUUGUAAACCGCUUUCGCCUGUGACGAAGCGUGAGUGACGGUAAUGGGUAAAGAAGCACCGGCUAACUACGUG
rnacentral:rRNA from 1 species